rnacentral:rRNA from 1 species
AUGCGCAUCACCAACCUCGCCAACACCCUGCGAUCUCUUGGGGACGUGAUAGACGAGGUAAAGAUAGUUCAGAAGUUUCUUCGUGAAGUGCCAUCGCAGUACACCCAGAUCGCCUAUUCGAUAAAGACGCUCCUUGACCUCAACAGCAUGUUCGUCGAGGAGCUGAUCGGCCGGCUGCGGUCGACCGCGGAGAGGUGCGCGAUCGGGACCACUGAUGGGACCGGCUCCCAGUUGCUGUUCAUGGAGGAGCAGUGGCUGGCACGAGCGAAGAAGAAGGAGCAGGGACAAGGAUCCGGCUCCAACGGCGGCGGUGGCAAGGGGAACGACCGCGGCAAGCAGGGAGCCAUGCCAACCAUGGGCGCGGCUCCAACGGCGGCAACAGCAAGCGCGACAUGUCUGGGAUCAAGUGUUACAGUUGCAACAAAUAUGCAGGACAGAUAUCCCAGGACUGCCCUGACCCUCGUCGCGAACGCAAGCAGAAGGAGCAUCACGUGCACCUGGCCGCAGCUGAGGAGGAACAGCCCGCGGUGCAUCUGGCACGAGUGUGCAACCUCAGCAACGACGACGGGCCGGUGCUUAUGA